rnacentral:rRNA from 1 species
CAGUAGCCACGGUAAGACAGAGGAUGCAAGCGUUAUCCGGAAUUACUGGGCGUAAAGCGCACGUAGGCGGCUUUGUAAGUUAGAGGUGAAAGCCUGGAGCUCAACUCCAGAAUUGCCUUUAAGACUGCAUCGCUUGAAUCCAGGAGAGGUGAGUGGAAUUCCGAGUGUAGAGGUGAAAUUCGUAGAUACUCGGAAGAACACCAGUGGCGAAGGCGGCUCACUGGACUGGUAUUGACGCUGAGGUGCGAAAGCGUGGGGAGCAAAUGGGAUUAGAUACCCGCGUAGUCCCUGUCUCUUAUAC